GCCUAGUUAGCUUAGUUGGUAGCGCGUCUGCCUUGUAAGCGUUAGGUUGCGGGUUCGAUUCCCACCCGGGGCG
rfam:Asian citrus Psyllid, Diaphorina citri - Florida Strain, whole genome shotgun sequence.